UGGGGAAUAUUGCACAAUGGGCGCAAGCCUGAUGCAGCCAUGCCGCGUGUGUGAAGAAGGCCUUCGGGUUGUAAAGCACUUUCAGCGAGGAGGAAGGGUAGUGUGUUAAUAGCACAUUGCAUUGACGUUACUCGCAGAAGAAGCACCGGCUAACUCCGUGCCAGCAGCCGCGGUAAUACGGAGGGUGCAAGCGUUAAUCGGAAUUACUGGGCGUAAAGCGCACGCAGGCGGUUUGUUAAGUCAGAUGUGAAAUCCCCGCGCUUAACGUGGGAACUGCAUUUGAAACUGGCAAGCUAGAGUCUUGUAGAGGGGGGUAGAAUUCCAGGUGUAGCGGUGAAAUGCGUAGAGAUCUGGAGGAAUACCGGUGGCGAAGGCGGCCCCCUGGACAAAGACUGACGCUCAGGUGCGAAAGCGUGGGGAGCAAAACAGGAUUAGAUACCCUGGUAGUCCACGCUGUAAACGAUGUCGACUUGGAGGUUGUGCCCUUGAGGCGUGGCUUCCGGAGCUAACGCGUUAAGUCGNCCGCCUGGGGGAGUACGGCCNCAAGGUUAAAAC
rnacentral:rRNA from 1 species